rnacentral:rRNA from 1 species
AGAGUUUGAUCAUGGCUCAGAUUGAACGCUGGCGGCAUGCCUUACACAUGCAAGUCGAACGGCAGCACGGGAGCUUGCUCCUGGUGGCGAGUGGCGAACGGGUGAGUAAUACAUCGGAACGUACCCAGGAGUGGGGGAUAACGUAGCGAAAGUUACGCUAAUACCGCAUAUUCUGUGAGCAGGAAAGCGGGGGAUCGCAAGACCUCGCGCUCUUGGAGCGGCCGAUGUCGGAUUAGCUAGUUGGUGAGGUAAAAGCUCACCAAGGCGACGAUCCGUAGCAGGUCUGAGAGGAUGAUCUGCCACACUGGGACUGAGACACGGCCCAGACUCCUACGGGAGGCAGCAGUGGGGAAUUUUGGACAAUGGGGGCAACCCUGAUCCAGCCAUGCCGCGUGAGUGAAGAAGGCCUUCGGGUUGUAAAGCUCUUUCGGCGGGGAAGAAAUGGCAACGGCUAAUAUCCGUUGUUGAUGACGGUACCCGCAUAAGAAGCACCGGCUAACUACGUGCCAGCAGCCGCGGUAAUACGUAGGGUGCGAGCGUUAAUCGGAAUUACUGGGCGUAAAGCGUGCGCAGGCGG